rnacentral:lncRNA from 1 species
CACCAGCCACCAACCCACCAAAAUCACAAAAAACGUUUUUGUUAAUAAAAUUAUUUAAAACUCCAAAAAUCAAUUUAGACCCAAUAUACCGGAACUUCAAUAAUUCACAAUAAAUAGCCCUUUUAUAAAAAAAAAAUUCAAAUCGUAUGUGCAUUCCAUAGGAAAUUCAAUUCUCUACAACUUUGUAAGUUUAAGUUUUUCCAAAUUCCAAACAGAAAUUGACCGAAAUUCACAUACGGACGAUUUUACAGUCUAUAAUCAAAUUUCAGUCAAGAAAUGGGGUCCACAAACAUGAAAAACAUGUUUUAAAUAUUUUUAGUAACAAAAAUACUCUUCCUCCUCACUUAUUCAUAUAUCCCACAUUCAUUGUAAAA